rnacentral:misc_RNA from 1 species
UCCGGUUUGGCACCGGCAGUCUUUCUAGAGUCCCCGACUUUACUCGCUGGCAACUAGAAACGGGGGUUGCGCUCGUUGCGGGACUUAACCCAACAUCUCACGACACGAGCUGACGACAGCCAUGCAGCACCUGUGCAUGGACUCCGAAGAGGGCCUCUGGUUUCUCAGAGGUUUCCCAUGCAUGUCAAGCCUAGGUAAGGUUCUUCGCGUUGCGUCGAAUUAAACCACAUGCUCCACCGCUUGUGCGGGCCCCCGUCAAUUCCUUUGAGUUUCAGCCUUGCGGCCGUACUCCCCAGGCGGGGCACUUAAUGCGUUAGCGACGGCACUCAGAGGGUCGCUCCCCCAAGCACCUAGUGCCCAUCGUUUACGGCGUGGACUAC